rnacentral:rRNA from 1 species
UACGUAGGGUGCGAGCGUUGUCCGGAAUUAUUGGGCGUAAAGGGCUCGUAGGCGGUUUGUCGCGUCGGGAGUGAAAUCCACUGGCUUAACUGGUGGCUUGCUUUCGAUACGGGCAGACUGGAGGUAUGCAGGGGAGAACGGAAUUCCUGGCGUAGCGGUGAAAUGCGCAGAUAUCAGGAGGAACACCGGUGGCGAAGGCGGGUCUCUGGGCCGUAACUGACGCUGAGGAGCGAAAGCGUGGGGAGCGAACAGG